UGGGCCGUUAGCUCAGCUGGUAGAGCAGCUGACUCUUAAUCAGCGGGUCGCAGGUUCGAAUCCUGCACGGCUCACUUA
rnacentral:tRNA from 1 species